rnacentral:rRNA from 1 species
UACGAAGGGGGCUAGCGUUGCUCGGAAUCACUGGGCGUAAAGGGUGCGUAGGCGGGUCUUUAAGUCAGGGGUGAAAUCCUGGAGCUCAACUCCAGAACUGCCCUUGAUACUGAAGAUCUUGAGUUCGGGAGAGGUGAGUGGAACUGCGAGUGUAGAGGUGAAAUUCGUAGAUAUUCGCAAGAACACCAGUGGCGAAGGCGGCUCACUGGCCCGAUACUGACGCUGAGACGCGAAAGCGUGGGGAGCAAACAGG